GUGCCAGCCGCCGCGGUAAUACGGAGGGUGCAAGCGUUGUCCGGAAUCACUGGGCGUAAAGGGUGCGCAGGCGGUUUGUUAAGCGAGAUGUGAAAGCCCCGGGCUCAACCUGGGAACUGCAUUUCGAACUGGCAAACUAGAGUGUGAUAGAGGGUGGUAGAAUUUCAGGUGUAGCGGUGAAAUGCGUAGAGAUCUGAAGGAAUACCGAUGGCGAAGGCAGCCACCUGGGUCAACACUGACGCUCAUGUACGAAAGCGUGGGGAGCAAACGGGAUUAGAAACCCGAGUAGUCC
rnacentral:rRNA from 1 species